UUAGUAAUACUCCACACAAAAAAAGGAAAAAAAAUACAUCUCUUGACAACUCGCUCUGUGAAAGCCUUGUUCUUGUUCGCGAGUCAAUAAAGGUUCGCCGGUUUGAAGCAUCAUGGCAGCCUACAUGAUCCUCCCAACUGUGAGAUGCUCGGUGACAUUUGUUACUUUUAGCUAUGUUCCGACGUUAAGAAUCACCUGUUGUCGGGUCUUCAGCAACAACGUUAAAGAUUACGCUAGCUGUUCAUCCAGGUCAUUCUCCUCAGAGUCUAUUGAUUUUGGUGACACUGUCGCUCAGUAUAACCGCUUGGUUCAGUGUGGCUCUUUGAGGGAAGAUGCUCUGCAGAGGAGUGUUCUCCAGUGGCUGGCUCGCCUGCAGCAGACCCUGCAAAACUACAGUAAUACGUCCUACUUGGAACUGCCUCGCCUGACAAUAAACCCCAAUGCUGAUACACUGCAGAAAAGGAAGGACCCCUGCAUUACAGCAAAUAGAGCAUCUGCUCAUGAGGAAGAAGAUGCACCACCUCCCCCACCUACAGGCUUCUAUAUAUAUGGAGAUGUUGGUACAGGGAAGACCAUGCUCAUGGAUAUGUUUUACUGCGGGGUGCAAAACAGCCAUAAAAAGAGAGUCCACUUCAACGCGUUCAUGCUGGACAUCCACAAAAGGAUCCACCGGAGGAAACAAAGCCUGCCGAGACGAAAGCUGGGCAGCAUGUUUACCUAUGACCCCAUAUCACCGGUUGCCAUGGAGAUCUCCCAUGAAACCUGCCUCUUGUGUUUUGAUCAGUUUCAGGUGACGGACAUCGCUGAUGCCGUGAUCUUGAGGCAACUUUUUCAGACGUUGUUCAAAACCGGAGUGGUGGUGGUGGCGACCUCCAAUAGACCUCCUGAUGAUCUGUACAAAAACGGACUUCAGAGGGACACCUUUCUACCUUUCAUCGACGUGCUGAAGGAGUACUGCCACACUGUCUGCCUCGACUCAGGUGUGGACUACAGGAGGCUGCACAAGACUGGAGCAGGGAAAUUCUACUUCCUGACAGGGGAGCCUGGUGCAGACGCUAUCUUGGAUGCGAUGUUUGACGAGCUGGCUUUUGCACAAAAUAGCUUUACCGGUCCGCAGGUGCUCACCGUGCUGGGCAGGGAAGUGACGCUGAAGAAGACCUGCGGCUCCGUUGCAGACUGCACUUUCCACGAGCUGUGUGGCAGAUCUCUCGGUGCCAGCGACUACCUGGAGAUGACGCGGCUCUUCGACAUAGUGUUCAUCCGGCGCAUUCCCAUGCUGACGCUGCGUAUGAAGGACCAAGUCAGGCGCUUCACCACCCUCGUUGACAACUUCUACAACAAUAAGGUGAGAGUGGUGCUACAGGCUGCAGCGCCGUUAGACCAGCUGUUUGUCCACACAGGAGGAGAUGAUGAGCGGGACCAACAACUUUUGGAUGACUUGGGCCUGAAGGAGGAGGUGGCGGCGCGUCUGACUCUUUUCACAGCUGAGGAGGAGAUCUUUGCCUACCACAGGACUAUUUCCAGGCUCACAGAGAUGCAGACAGACACUUACUGGAUGGAGGGGGAUCGCAGAACCACCAAGAAACACCUCGACACAUAAUUUUCACCGGUGGCAGCAGAAGCCAACCACUUUCUACAAGGGAUGAGCUUAUUCCUCUUUAAGGAUGAGGUCAUCUUCAUGCAGCAUUCCAGUUUGGACCAUCCUUCUGCCUUGGCCAAUGCACAACAAAGAGAAAUCUGCUCCCUAUAGACGCGUUCUACUGGGUGGACACGCGCAAUGCGCAGACGGGAGACAAAGAGGACCGCUUGUUUUGAUCAUGU